rnacentral:lncRNA from 1 species
GGUCAUCACACUUUAUUACACUACCCCAAUAUAUAUGCCCUGGAGUUAACACUACUCUUGCCAUACAUGUAUUUGGAACAAAUUACUCUGAAAUUACUGUGAUUGCUGAAAUUGCUGAUCUACAAAGAAAUGUGUUAGCAAAUGCCAGCAGUAUCUUCUAUAAUGGUAAGUACAGUAGCUGGUAUUUGUGUUAUUUUAUAUGAUAAUUCUUCAUUGAAAAAUGUGCUGUUCUGUAACUUGACUCUUAAUAACGUUAUAAUCUAUUAUAAAAUACAUUCCUGAAAUAUUGAUUUAUUUGUAAAAUCCAGUCUAAUUUUUAGGUAUUUUUGGUAUAGCCUGUAGUGAUCUAUUCCGUAAAUGGCCUGUGGUGAUUUGAGUAAUGACUAUCAAUAUUUAGGACACCAUUUUUAGAACAUGCCCCUAUGUUUUAGUUAAUGUAUAUUAGAUUAACGUAAAUUGUGGCAUGUAACAUAUAGCAUACAUUUAUACGUCAUGGAUUACAUGUGCAGAGAAUGAUUACAUGGACAUGUACUCUGGACUACAUGCGACAAUGUGAUUACCAAUGUGCAGGGACAUCCUUCAUCGCCCAUUGAGUGUACAUCUGCCAGUUUGCACGUCUGUCUAGGCAGUAUCCGUUAAGAUUAGAGUGUAACAGAAGUAACAACAGAUUAGAGAGAAACAGAAGAGGAAUAACAAAAUAAGGUAGAGGGGUAGGGGGUUGUAUGCAUGAGGAGUUAUUGUAUGGGAGUCACCUUCGGUGUGCACCUGUUAGAGAUGCCUUUUUAUCACUGGUCUACAUGGACAUAUUUUAAAGGGAACUGCAGAAAACACGUGGGCUAAUAAGUACUUCUACUCACCUUUUCCAACAGUGGUUCCAAAUAUAUUAGUUGUACAGUUGCACUCAAGUUGUUGAGUCUAUAUUUCAUUCAACCAUUUCUUAUAUUCUAUUCUUUUAUAUAUGUAGUCCAUGUGGUGAUGUUUGAAGCUAAAAAACACCUUGGACAUCAGUAAAGCCUGGUUCUAAUUAUUGAUGUGUUCAUCUCAGUAAUUGCAGUGAUUUAAAUCUCUAAUUAUUAUCUUGUUCUCCUCCAGAUACUAUUGGAUUGCUUACUAUUCCUGCAGUAAGUAUGAACUUCCUUACCUAUACGCAGUUUAACAUUUAUUCUGGUGUGUCAUUUUGUUUGAACAUACACUCAAACCAGAAAUUUUAUAAAUAUACCAAACCAAUAUGAUUUGAAUAUUUUUUUCUGCCUGCAAUUGGUGGUGAUAACAGUAUUUCAGCCCAUCUCUCAUUACUGAUAUGCCAGGAGAGGAGGUGACUGAAUUGUACUUUUGCUGUCUUACCAGCCAUUCUCCAGGCAUUAUAAAUGGGAGAGGGACUGAGUUAAUGGUGGCAACAGUGUAUCUCCUACAUAUCUUGGACAGGUAUUUUCCAAUGCUACCUAUUUAAUGCAUAGUCUGUUGUCACCCACCAUGCAGUAUGGGAUUUGAAAACCUGAUCAGCCUCUUGCAUGAGUGGGUGACAUCACACCAUGCAAUACAAACUGUAUUGCGCGAUUCGAUGCCACAGUGUGACUUUCAAGUAUAUGUACGUCUGAGCUGCCCUAAGAUUACAGUACCAUGGAUUAGUGGAAAAUAAUUCCUUCAGAUGGGUCCUUGAAAAAUUGUAAACCACAAUAUCUAUGAUUGAAAGAUUUUUUUGUAUCACACUUUAAUCUCCUAUAUUUUAUAUUGUGAGAUUCAACUAUUAUUUCUAUUAUUUACAUAGGAUUAUAAGAUCCACACAUUAUUGAUUAUAUGGGCAUGGACAGAAUGAAAACACACACACACACACACACCCUAUUUGCAUUUACCUUUCAAAAAAAUUAAAAUACAUUAUAAUUGUAAAUAACUCAAAGCGUGAACUUUUUGCAUAUAUCACUGGUUUUACUCUCCUGUUCUUUUAUUCUUAUUUUGCAGAUUCCAGUGAAUACUUCAACCUCUUCCUACAACUUAUCUGUCAGGGGCUUAGCUCGGAAUAGUUUAAUUUUCUCCAAAGAAACUACAUUGGAAACGCAAAAAAGAAAUACAUAUUCUUUCACACAAACUGACAAGGUUUCUUAUAAACCUGGACAAACAGUCAAAAUCAGGGUGAUUUCUAUUGAUCGUGAUCUGAUGCCUUACAAUGGACUGGUGGAUAUUUUAAUAAUG